rnacentral:rRNA from 1 species
AUGAAGGCUCUAUUUUGGAAUAUUAGGGGUUUCGGCACUAGGGGGCGCAGGGACCAGCUAAAAGACUUGGUUCGUUCUGAAAAUGUUGAUAUCAUUGGACUUGUCGAGACUCUCAAACCGUCCUUCUCCCCAAAUGAACUCUCAGCCGUUUCUGGGACCGAUAGAUUCGAUUGGAACUGUGUGGCUCAUGUUGGUCAUUCGGGUGGUAUUCUUCUUGGCACUAAGAAAGACGUUUUUGAUUUUGUCGCUUUUGACCAUGGCAUUUUUUGGGCUAGCGCGGUGGUUUCUCACUGA